AAGCCGCUGAACCACUCAGCCAUGCCCGAGGGAGCCCGUGGACUGGGCCUGUCCAAACCCAGCCCUAGCCUCGGCCACAGAGGUGAAGUGUGUGACUGUGCGGCUGUGUGUGACACUCGGACAGCCCCUGCCACCCCCGCCAUGACCUCCCCACGAGGUUCUGGGAGCUCCACGUCCUUGAGCACUGUGGGCUCUGAGGGGGACCCGGCUCCGGGCCCCACCCCAGCCUGCUCAGCCUCGAGGCCAGAGCCCCUUCCAGGGCCCCCCAUCCGCCUGCAUCUGUCACCUGUGGGGACCUCGGGUUCUUCGAAACCCUCGAGGCUGGAGCGUGUGGCCCGUGAGAUUGUGGAGACAGAGCGGGCCUACGUCCGGGACCUCCGAAGCAUCGUGGAGGACUACCUGGGCCCUCUGCUGGAUGGCGGGGUUCUGGGGCUGAGUGCGGAGCAGGUGGGCACACUGUUUGCCAACAUCGAGGACAUCUACGAGUUCAGCAGUGAGCUCCUGGAAGACCUGGAGGGCAGCAGCAGCGCCGGGGGCAUCGCUGAGUGCUUUGUGCAGAGGAGCGAGGAUUUCGACAUCUACACAUUGUACUGCAUGAACUACCCGAGCUCCCUGGCCCUACUCCGGGAGCUGUCACUGUCCCCACCAGCAGCCAUGUGGCUGCAAGAGCGCCAGGCCCAGCUCCAUCACUCGCUGCCCCUGCAGAGCUUCCUGUUGAAGCCUGUCCAGCGCAUCCUCAAGUACCAUCUGCUGCUGCAGGAGCUGGGCAAGCACUGGGCGGAGGGCCCAGAUGCCGGGGGCCGCGAGAUGGUGGAGGAGGCUAUUGUGUCCAUGACAGCGGUCGCCUGGUACAUCAAUGACAUGAAACGCAAGCAGGAGCAUGCUGCGCGCCUCCAGGAGGUGCAACGGCGCCUGGGCGGCUGGACCGGUCCAGACCUCAGCGCUUUUGGGGAGCUAGUGCUGGAGGGCGCAUUCCGAGGUGGUGGAGGGAGCGGCCCCCGACUCCGAGGGGGUGAACGGCUGCUCUUUCUGUUCUCACGGAUGCUGCUCGUGGCCAAGCGCCGGGGACCGGAAUACACCUACAAGGGCCACAUCUUCUGCUGCAACCUGAGUGUGAGCGAGAACCCUCGAGACCCUCUAGGGUUCAAGGUGUCCGAUCUGACCAUUCCCAAGCACAGGCACCUGCUCCAGGCCAGGAACCAAGAAGAGAAGAGGCUGUGGAUUCACUGUCUCCAGCGCCUCUUCUUUGAGAACCACCCCGCCUCCAUCCCUGCCAAGGCAAAACAAGUCCUCCUUGAAAACAGCCUGCACUGUGCUCCUAAAAGCAAGCCUAUCCCAGAGCCCCUUACACCCCCACUUGGGUCUCCCUGCCCGCGAGAUGCUAGAAGUUUCACUCCUGGACGACGGAACACAGCUCCAUCACCAGGACCCACCGCUACCCGUCGCGGCCGCAGACAGUCUGAGCCUCUAAAGGACCUUUACGUCAUGUUGCCACACAGCGCUAAGCCUAGACUCAAGCACACCGGCAGUGCGGGGGAGCUCUACCCGCCCCUGGAGCCUCAGCCACCAAGUCCCACUUCUGGACCCCCUGAGGACCUGGAGGACACAGGACCCCCCACGCUGGACCCUUCUGGGCCCUCAAUCACUGAAGAAAUCCUGGAGCUCCUGAACCAAAGAGGCCUCCGGGAUCCGGGGGAAUCUGUGGGUCUCCGCAGAGCCCAGGGGGGCCCCGAUGCCCCUUUCCACAUGUGA
rnacentral:lncRNA from 1 species